GUGCUACAGGAGGGUGUUUGAUCUCUGUUUCAGUCAAUACCCUCUCCGUGCCUUACACUGUGAACAUAGCGAGACCUGCUGACAGCACUCAGAUAUUUUUGGUGAACUGCUCUCAGGCAAAUCUUUGUUAAUUUCCUCUGUGUUGAUUGGCCAGAAGACUUGGAAACUGCUUUGAUUUGAUGAACUGGAAAUUAUUUGACUCUGUACAUUUGCUCAAUGGCCAAAAUCUUACCCAGCAGUUCCUUUUGUUUGAGGAGCAGGUGCACUGAAGACUUCAACUCCCAUUAGAUCAAUCCCAGGGGAUUCAGAUCCGUGAUCAGUUAUUGCUUUUGGCUCCUCCUCUGACAUGAGGGCUUGAAAUGCUCAAGGCAGAACACACCAACUUGGACUUCAGGGCUGGAAGCAGAGGAGCCCACUUUAUGAUCAGCUCCUGCCCUGCUCCAACACCAAGAAUGGGUCGAGGUGAGAACAUGGGACACCUGACUGAACCUGGCCGCAGGCAGAAGACACAGCAGGAGCCUCUGGAUGUGGACCCAUUGUUUAUCCGCUUCCUCCGGACGUUCAGGGAAAUCCUCAAAUUUGUUCUCUUCAGCUACACAGUGCUGUUUGGUGCUCUGCUUCUUGCCAGAUGGACCACUUAUUUCAUGGUGGGGAAAUGAAAAGAAAGUGACUGUUGGAGAAUGAACCCGUCCACGGACUUAGAGCUUAUUAAUGAAGUUGUUGAGGCAGACCUUCGUGGGAUUUGUGGUCUAUGCAGUUGCUAUAAAUUAUUCAUGUCUCCACACACAACAGUAACAGCUGGAAUGAUGAUGCUUCCUUAUUUGACUCACGCUCUGCAGUAUCACUCACAGCUUUUGUACUUUUUUUGGUUUGUCUUUAAAUAAUCCAAACAGGGUUUUGCAGGCCUAUAGAGCAAUUUAAACAAGACAGUUUGCAUCAAAUGUGUUUGUUUAUAGUGCUUAAAUGUGCAGUAUAGAAACUGUGGUAUCUGCUGAGUCACAAAAUGACUCCAGUGAAGCUAUAUAAAACAUGUCUGUAUGGUUGUGUAGCAAACAAAAAACAGUUCUGUGUAAUCAUGACCGACAAAAGCUUGAAAGAUGUUUUUCCUUGAGAAGUACAUAUAAAGUUUGACAAAAAUGUUAAUGUAAAUAAGGCAUAACAACGUCUCCAGAAUGAAUUGGCAAAACAAAGAUGUCCCUUCUGACAGGAUCAUGUGUGUCUGGGAAAGCUGAAUUUUUAAACGGACAUGGCGGACAGCUGCCCUGGGGGAGUCUAGGCUCCCAGAGGGCCUGAGAGUUUACUGUAUGGGAAUUAAUUUAUGAUAAUUUAAUAAAGUGCAAAUAGUUUUGGCGAUAUUGUAUGCACCACCAAAGCACUGUAUAAACAGAAAUGAUUUGGGCCUUAAGGACACACCUGCAUUAUUACCUCAUCUUGAUGCCCUUUCCUGUCAAGUUAAAAUCUGUGUUUGAGGCCUUUAUUAUUUCAAUUUAUAUUGUGCUUAGAUGGAGCAUAUUCCUAAAUACAUGUGUGAUUAGUCACAUUGCCAAAAACAGGUUUGCCUCUGUGGUUUAGGGGUUAAGAUGCCGGCCAUGCCAAAUGUUCUCAGUUUGUUGCAUCUAAUUCCUUUGCUUGUUUCCUGUUAUCUCUCUGCUAGUACUAUCAUAACAAGCAUAAAAUGCCUUAAGUAAUUAUUGAAAAAUCUUAACCAGAAACUUAAUAAUACUCACAUGAUGGGAAAAGAGGAGGACUGGGAGAGGGAUGUGUCAGUAUGGACUCAGAAGACAUUUUGACUUGUGACAAUGAGAAAAGCACAGGUGUAAAUAAUAAAAUGAAUUAUAGCUGAA